UUCAAAGCCUACUACGAGAGUGACAAGAUU
rnacentral:piRNA from 1 species